rnacentral:rRNA from 1 species
GAUCAUGGCUCAGGAUGAACGCUAGCUACAGGCUUAACACAUGCAAGUCGAGGGGCAGCAUGAACUUAGCUUGCUAAGUUUGAUGGCGACCGGCGCACGGGUGAGUAACACGUACCCAACCUGCCGAUGACUCGGGGAUAGCCUUUCGAAAGAAAGAUUAAUACCCGAUGGCAUAAUUCUUCCGCAUGGUAGAAUUAUUAAAGAAUUUCGGUCAUCGAUGGGGAUGCGUUCCAUUAGGUUG